GCCUAGCUGUAAACAAUUAACUUACAUCCACACCGCCAGAGAAUUACGAGCAAUGCUUAAAACCCAAAGGAUAUGACGGUGUCCCACCCCGCUAGAGGAGCCUGUUCUAUAAUCGAUGAUCCCCGCUUCACCUAACCACUCCUCGCCCAUCAGUCUGUAUACCUCCGUCGAAAGCUUACCAUGUGAACGUCCGCAGUAGGCUCAAUGAUUGCCCAUCAACACGUCAGGUCAAGGUGCAGCUUAAGGAGUGGUAAGCAAUGGGCUACAAUUUCUAACUUAGAACAAACGAAAGACUAUGUAAACCCUAGUCAUGAAGGUGGAUUUAGUAGUAAAAAGAAACUAGAGUCUCUCUUUUAACCCGGCUCUGGGACGCGUACACACCGCC
rnacentral:rRNA from 1 species